CCAUCAUCAAGUUUCCCCUCGUCUUUCUCCCUCCGAACGUUCCAUGGAUCUGAAUAUAAUUUGAGAAGACACUUCAACACUCAACACUCGAGCGUCAACACAAAUGUUCCACCACUUGAACGGACUUAAUCUGCAAUUGCAAGGAUGCGGGGAUGCUGGAGCCUAUUCCAGCACUCAUUGGGCAGCAGGCGGGGAGACACCCUGGACAGGCCGCCAGGCCAUCACAGGGCCCACAC